GACGAACGCUGGCGGCGUGCCUAAUACAUGCAAGUCGAACGCACUCUCGUUUAGAUUGAAGGAGCUUGCUCCUGAUUGAUAAACAUUUGAGUGAGUGGCGGACGGGUGAGUAACACGUGGGUAACCUGCCCUAAAGUGGGGGAUAACAUUUGGAAACAGAUGCUAAUACCGCAUAAAACCUAACACCGCAUGGUGUAGGGUUGAAAGAUGGUUUCGGCUAUCACUUUAGGAUGGACCCGCGGUGCAUUAGUUAGUUGAUGAGGUAAAGGCUCACCAAGACCGUGAUGCAUAGCCGACCUGAGAGGGUAAUCGGCCACACUGGGACUGAGACACGGCCCAGACUCCUACGGGAGGCAGCAGUAGGGAAUCUUCCACAAUGGACGAAAGUCUGAUGGAGCAACGCCGCGUGAGUGAAGAAGGUUUUCGGAUCGUAAAACUCUGUUGUUGGAGAAGAAUGUAUCUGAUAGUAACUGAUCAGGUAGUGACGGUAUCCAACCAGAAAG
rnacentral:rRNA from 1 species